rnacentral:rRNA from 1 species
UAGAGUUUGAUCAUGGCUCAGGACGAACGCUGGCGGCGUGCCUAAUACAUGCAAGUCGAGCGGACAGAUGGGAGCUUGCUCCCUGAUGUUAGCGGCGGACGGGUGAGUAACACGUGGGUAACCUGCCUGUAAGACUGGGAUAACUCCGGGAAACCGGGGCUAAUACCGGAUGGUUGUUUGAACCGCAUGGUUCAGACAUAAAAGGUGGCUUCGGCUACCACUUACAGAUGGACCCGCGGCGCAUUAGCUAGUUGGUGAGGUAACGGCUCACCAAGGCRACGAUGCGUAGCCGACCUGAGAGGGUGAUCGGCCACACUGGGACUGAGACACGGCCCAGACUCCUACGGGAGGCAGCAGUAGGGAAUCUUCCGCAAUGGACGAAAGUCUGACGGAGCAACGCCGCGUGAGUGAUGAAGGUUUUCGGAUCGUAAAGCUCUGUUGUUAGGGAAGAACAAGUGCCGUUCAAAUAGGGCGGCACCUUGACGGUACCUAACCAGAAAGCCACGGCUAACUACGUGCCAGCAGCCGCGGUAAUACGUAGGUGGCAAGCGUUGUCCGGAAUUAUUGGGCGUAAAGGGCUCGCAGGCGGUUUCUUAAGUCUGAUGUGAAAGCCCCCGGCUCAACCGGGGAGGGUCAUUGGAAACUGGGGAACUUGAGUGCAGAAGAGGAGAGUGGAAUUCCACGUGUAGCGGUGAAAUGCGUAGAGAUGUGGAGGAACACCAGUGGCGAAGGCGACUCUCUGGUCUGUAACUGACGCUGAGGAGCGAAAGCGUGGGGAGCGAACAGGAUUAGAUACCCUGGUAGUCCACGCCGUAAACGAUGAGUGCUAAGUGUUAGGGGGUUUCCGCCCCUUAGUGCUGCAGCUAACGCAUUAAGCACUCCGCCUGGGGAGUACGGUCGCAAGACUGAAACUCAAAGGAAUUGACGGGGGCCCGCACAAGCGGUGGAGCAUGUGGUUUAAUUCGAAGCAACGCGAAGAACCUUACCAGGUCUUGACAUCCUCUGACAAUCCUAGAGAUAGGACGUCCCCUUCGGGGGCAGAGUGACAGGUGGUGCAUGGUUGUCGUCAGCUCGUGUCGUGAGAUGUUGGGUUAAGUCCCGCAACGAGCGCAACCCUUGAUCUUAGUUGCCAGCAUUCAGUUGGGCACUCUAAGGUGACUGCCGGUGACAAACCGGAGGAAGGUGGGGAUGACGUCAAAUCAUCAUGCCCCUUAUGACCUGGGCUACACACGUGCUACAAUGGACAGAACAAAGGGCAGCGAAACCGCGAGGUUAAGCCAAUCCCACAAAUCUGUUCUCAGUUCGGAUCGCAGUCUGCAACUCGACUGCGUGAAGCUGGAAUCGCUAGUAAUCGCGGAUCAGCAUGCCCGCGGUGAAUACGUUCCCGGGCCUUGUACACACCGCCCGUCACACCACGAGAGUUUGUAACACCCGAAGUCGGUGAGGUAACCUUUUAGGAGCCAGCCGCCGAAGGUGGGACAGAUGAUUGGGGUGAAGUCGUAACAAGG